GAAAUGUACUCAAAAGGUAAAUCGCUAGUACACACUACUGAAACACAUCAAAUUACCCACAAAUGUUACAUGACAAUCAACUCACAAUGCCGCCUCCAACAUAACCAAUUCAAAAGAUAACCGGAAAGUUCUGAAAUAUUCAUAAAAGGAAUCUAAAUUUUCACAAAGGCCAGGCAAGCUCGAGAUACAUUCACUUAGAGCAGAGUUAAGGGAACAGAAAAUUAAAGAAAAACUGGCAAAGGAACAAUCGUACAGCAUAGACCAGGAAUUCAUAGAGCCUGAUCUCUAGAAGUCAGUGACAUAAUCCUUGCAAAUAGGUGUGUGCAUAGAACUAGAAUCUCCUCCUGGGACUUCUAGAACGAUGACUACGAGGUGACCUCCUCCUAACAUUUCUCCUUCUAAAAGGACCUUUGCUGAAUGCCCAAUCAACAUGUAUAGUCUGAGUUAGCAGCUCAUUCCCAUCCAUUUCACUAAUAGCUCUCUCUGCUUCUUCAAAGUUUUCAUAUUCAAUAAGUGCAUAACCCUUGACAAAUCCAGAACGACGAUCCAGAUUCAAAUGCAAAUUCUUGAUCUCCCCGAACUCACCAAAUGUAUUAUGAAGAUCAUCUUCGUGUGCCUCCUCAUUGACUCCAGUGACUAAAAUAAUCCAU
rnacentral:misc_RNA from 1 species